UACGGGGGGAGCAAGCGUUGUUCGGAUUUACUGGGCGUAAAGGGCGCGUAGGCGGCCAGCACAAGUCAGUUGUGAAAUCUCCGGGCUUAACUCGGAAAGGUCAACUGAUACUGUGCGGCUAGAGUGCAGAAGGGGCAACUGGAAUUCUCGGUGUAGCGGUGAAAUGCGUAGAUAUCGAGAGGAACACCUGCGGCGAAGGCGGGUUGCUGGGCUGACACUGACGCUGAUGCGCGAAGGCCAGGGGAGCGAACGGG
rnacentral:rRNA from 1 species